AAAUUGAAGAGUUUGAUCAUGGCUCAGAUUGAACGCUGGCGGCAGGCCUAACACAUGCAAGUCGAACGGUAACAGGAAGCAGCUUGCUGCUUUGCUGACGAGUGGCGGACGGGUGAGUAAUGUCUGGGAAACUGCCUGAUGGAGGGGGAUAACUACUGGAAACGGUGGCUAAUACCGCAUAACGUCGCAAGACCAAAGAGGGGGACCUUCGGGCCUCUUGCCAUCAGAUGUGCCCAGAUGGGAUUAGCUUGUUGGUGAGGUAACGGCUCACCAAGGCGACGAUCCCUAGCUGGUCUGAGAGGAUGACCAGCCACACUGGAACUGAGACACGGUCCAGACUCCUACGGGAGGCAGCAGUGGGGAAUAUUGCACAAUGGGCGCAAGCCUGAUGCAGCCAUGCCGCGUGUAUGAAGAAGGCCUUCGGGUUGUAAAGUACUUUCAGCGGGGAGGAAGGUGUUGUGGUUAAUAACCGCAGCAAUUGACGUUACCCGCAGAAGAAGCACC
rnacentral:rRNA from 1 species